UACGUAGGGUGCGAGCGUUGUCCGGAAUUAUUGGGCGUAAAGAGCUCGUAGGCGGCUUGUUGCGUCGACUGUGAAAACCCGCGGCUUAACUGCGGGCUUGCAGUUGAUACGGGCAGGCUAGAGUUCGGUAGGGGAGACUGGAAUUCCUGGUGUAGCGGUGAAAUGCGCAGAUAUCAGGAGGAACACCGGUGGCGAAGGCGGGUCUCUGGGCCGAUACUGACGCUGAGGUGCGAAAGCGUGGGGAGCAAACAGG
rnacentral:rRNA from 1 species